rnacentral:lncRNA from 1 species
UUGUUCCACCUGAUGAGAGACUCACUGGAGCAAGGAGUGAGCACACAACAGGUCAAGGAUACUCUAGAGCCUGGGGGCCUAAGCUUAGGCAAGCUCAGGCUCAACUCUGUACAAGGCUGACCCAGCAAUGCCAAGGAGACUGAUCCCUUUUUCCUGAAAUGAUUCUGGGCACAGCCAGGUCCAGCAGGACUUCUUGGCUCCUUCUCAGCAAAGCCCCAUGCUCGUGGGUGCAGGCAAGCCUCACCCGAGAAGACUGGAGCUAUCUCACUUGCAGAUCCCUGCUUCUGCUCCGGGGAUGUGGAUGCAGAGCUCUGCCAUUAAGGUGGAGGUGGCACAAACUUUCAUGGUCCAGGGCAUGAGGCAGCAAGAGCUAUGACUCUCUGGGCCUCUGCAGGACAACAGGAAAGGACUUUCACAGCAAGGAAGAGGACGCCAGCUGGCAUCCCUGCCAGGUUUGCCAUUCUGCACUGCCCUGCUUCUCCAAAACUCAGAUUUAACAACAAGAGUCCACUGCCUGCUUAAAUAUAUUCACCCAGAUUACUAGAAUCUGGCAGCUGCAAGAGACUAGGCAUAAACACGACCWAAAGAAUGAUGCAGACUGUCACAUAGGAAUUCAGGGAGCGAGUCGGGCAUUCCUGGAGUACAAAAAUGCUUUAAUUUCAGUCAGUUUUUGCACAUCACUCAACGAUUUUUUCAACCCAAAAAUAUCAAGAAAUUUCCAUCAGAAGGGAGAUUUUUUUUCUCUUGUUGAAUGAAAAGCUCAUAUAAAAAAUGAGGAGCCCUGCCAAGAGAAGGACACMAAGUUCAUCCUGUGCCUUCCACCUUUUUGUAGACAGAGGAGACAGAAGGACAACUCCAGCUUUUCUAUCCUCAAAGUCCUGUCCAGGCAAGGGGACCRACACAUCUAGCUGAGCAGAUUCUGACGUUUCUGUUGGCAGAAGUGAGCAAGAAGUCCUCCCUGUGGGAUCACGAGGUGUGUGGCUCGGAGGCCCAGGGAGCAGAUGGUGGGAUAAUGCAGCAACUGAAGAGGAAGCAGAAGAGCUGGAGGAGGCAUUGAGGGAGCUGCCACCUCCUGAGACCUCGUGCCUGCUGUAAGGCAUUUCACACUGAGCAGACGCUGCAGCCAAGACACUCACGGUUCUUGCAGCAAGAGGUAAUUUCAUCUUCCCUCUGGUAGUGAGUGCCUUGACUCACRGUCUGUGGAGUCAGCCCAGGGAACGGGGAAAGAUGAAGAACAGCAAGUUCCAGCAGGAGAAACCCCUCCACACACACCUUUCAGCAGUGGCUGCUUCCCAGCAUGGGUCUUGAAGGAACAGUAUGGAUUAACRAAUUGUCAGAGCAAUGGCACAAGCUAAUCUGAACAGGGACGCAGUGGGCCYGAGGUUCACUUUGUGGGAAUGGUGAGGCUCUAAGGCACUGUGGCAACAGGGGCUGCACACAAAGAUGCCAAAAAUCAUCUUUUGAUCUGUGCUGCAAGUCUUAGCUAUGGAUCCAUUUUCAAUCUCUUCAAAUUUUUCUCUCAAAAGUGGCAGAUGAMGUGCAGCACAGUUUAAUUGAGGUGGAUCAGAGUGUGCCAAGGACAGUGGGUAUUGAACAUAUCAUUUUUAAGCAUGUCCCAGCUUAAGAGCAMUUAUUUUUGCARCCUUUAUUUGUGACUCCCAUUUUUACACUAGCUUCACUUCUCCUCCUGUCCCUACCCCAGGAUUUGCCCUCAAGGCUAUUUUCCAGGCAGGGCAUUCUUAGAGAACAAGAGCCAUAACACAGUUAAAUUUAGCAAAAUAUCUGUGCCAACACAGAUGUGCCAGGCAGCUUGCAUUCUGCACACUUGGUGAUAGCUGUGAACUAGCAGCUCACGCUGCUUACAGCCGCACACUUGCAGCGAUCACUACAGCCGCUGGCAGACAUGAAGGAAAACAGCACAGAAAAGAGGGCAUGUCAAAGCAUGCACAUGAACUUCCCAGCUUCUAGCAAGAGGCCCACCCGUUUCCAAACUUUCCUACUCCUUCGCUCCCCUUGCCAGCCAGGGCAAUGAGAACCACAAGCAGCGAUUUCUUCAGAGGUUACCGAGCAGGCACAGGCUGCCGGCGCACGUGCAGUGAAGGUGAAAAGUAGCAAAUGGCACUGGGGGAGCGUUGUCUCAACAUCGCAGGUACCAUGGUUGGGCUGCGAGGACCUUGCAGGUGCUGGGCUACAAGCUGGGCUCUUGGUCGUGUCGCCUCGCUUUCAAAGUGACCAUGGAAAAGCCAACCCUGACUGCUCAGUUGGACACCAUCCUACAGGACUCUUCCACAGCUGGGUAUAGCCCCUGCUUUUGGAUGUAUUUUUAAAGGAAAAAUGUGAAAGCAAGUUCUUAGAUUUGACUGUAACUGGCUCUUUUGCAGUUGGAGUGACUCCUGAACGCUGUGCUGCAGUGCUGAAGAUUCAUACAGCUCUUGAACUACAGGGCUGCUGCUUAGUUGUGGGGCAAAAUUAUCUCCCUCAUGAGAAGAUGUAGAUGGAGUUGGUAGAGCACAAGGCUUCUGUAUCACUGUUCUUAAGAAGCCAACGACAGAUCACUAUGCAGGGUUAUAAAUAUAUAAUAAUGCAAAUCUGAUACGCAGUCGUCUACAUCAUCCCUUCAGAAUCUGCAGAGAGGUGUGCAUUGCAAAAUGGUUGGAAACCACCAUUCCUGAAAGAGCUGGGUAUGGUCAGUUUUUGCUCUUUCUUCUUACCUGGCCUUCCUGCUCUAAGGCUUCUGUUUUAUAAAAUGCCCAAAGAGGAGAAGAAGGGACCAAUCUGGGAAGAGUGAUUUGGUGGGAAAGAUGACCUGACACAGCUCUUUCCUUGGUAUUACAGAAGCUCUUGCAGCUUUCAGGAAAGAGUUUUAUUAACAGCUCUGGAGAUAAUGUGGUCCUGGCUGCUUUGAAGAUUUUUGUUCAAGGAGUUUCUCCUGAAGAACACAGGAAUCAGAAGAAGACCGAGUGAUCUGGAAAACUGAAAAAAUCCUUGUUAAAGCCAAGGCAUUCUUUUUUAGAUAUGACAGUGUUCUCUGGCAUCCUACAAACAAUAAAUGAAGUUGAGGGAAUGUUCA